UUUUUUUAUUGUACUGAUUGGUGAAAAUCAAAUUUUAAUCAUUUUUUUAUUCAUUUGUGACUCAGUUUGAACAUCUUUUUUCUUCGAGUGUGAAUUUAAACUGGAAAAUCCUGAUUUCUUUAUCCAUCGCCUGAGUUUAACUUUUCUUUUUCAUCAUCAGUAUCAGGUUGUAACCCUUAAGCAGUUUAGUGCAUGAAUGUUUGGAAAUUGAAAGUAAGACUUACCUUACUUCCAUCGCCUUAAGGUUUGAUUGUUAAUCAAUUUACAGAUUUCAUUAACUGAUUGUUACUCUAAUUUAUCGAGUCUUACCGUCCAAUGGGCUUUGUCUGAUCUAAAUGACUGUAAAUCUCUAGUCUUUACCAGCUCAUUGACUGCCAGCUUGACGACGAUGACAUAAUGUAAAAGGCGUCACAUUGUGAAAUAUUAAUCUAAAGAUUAUAACGAUUAAGAGGAUUGAUGUUCAAGAUGAGUCCACUUUCACUUUAUACACAAACCAUGGAUUCAAAGGCACAGCUAAAGGUGUUCACUGGACUCUCAACUCGAUUCAAGAUUACCCAAAUCAGCCAUCUUUAGUACCAGAUUUGGAUGGCUUAUAAACCUUACAUGUGAACACAGAUUUGACUGUCGAUUAAUCUUGAUUCAAUUUGUUCUCAUUAACAAAACAUGAUCCAAUUUAACCUUAUUAAGAUGAUUAACCAACUCUUCAUAAUUAACUUCAUCUCGGAAAGUUGAAUGGCUCAUUUCAUCAAGACAAAAUGCUUAUCCAGCCACUUUUUUCAACGUUGCCCAUUUGACCAGAUUAGAUGAACCCUAAAUUAGCUGUUAACUAAUACUUAAAGCUGCGUCCAAGCCACAACAAUACAAAAACGCUGUUAUUACAAUUGAUGAUCAAUUGUUGCAUUGAACUUGUCUCCCAGCAAUUUGUUAUUCAUGAAAUUCAAGUAACCAAACAAGUUUACUUGAUUAGCAUUAACAAAUGAAUCAGGAAGUGACAUCAAUGAUACUCAAUUGAAACAAUUUGGUAAAACAACAGUUAGUUAAUCAUGUUAAUAGUUUAAAGGUUAAAAAAUUAACAAAAUAGAGGUUAAAUAUCGCCUCAGCCUAGAUGGUAAUGAAUUAAUAUCAAAACAACAACAACAACAACAUUUGAUAGUCUCAAAUGAAUUUUUGAUUUACCUUUCACACAAUCCAAGCAAUCACUUUCAAUUAACUUGAAAUUGACAUUGAAUGCUCGGCUGAUCACUUUCCAUUAACCCAAUCAAUUAAUCACUGGUGAUGCCUUUAAUAAUAUAAUAGAUAAAAGGUUUAAAAUUAUCAAUCGGAAGGAAGAGAGAAAAGCUAUAAAAGCUAAUUUUAACUAAAAGUAAAAGAUUCUCAUUUUUAGGUGUAAAAAUUGAAUUGUACUUGUGACAAUUGGCCUUAUUAAAUUGUUAUAUCUUAUUAA